UGCAGGUGCACAUACAGAGAAGACACCAGAGAGUCCAGGAACCAACUCUGCCAGUGCUCAGCUGCUGCCUACAGAUGCACCCAAGUGCUGUCAACUCACCAGCUAAAGGAGGAGGACAUUCACUCAGCUGAGGUUUUACACUGCCCUGAGCUGGAGCUGAUUUUCAGUCUGAACAGGGCAGGACUCGCAGGCACGUUGCCUCAGGUUUGGCAGCAGCACAGUCACACUCCUACAAAAGCCUAUUCCAGUUAAUUAGAGCGUUGCCUUUCAGC
rnacentral:lncRNA from 1 species